AGUUGUUUUCUGUUUAGUGUCUGCACCUUACAGAACUGUUUCGUUUGGUUCAACUUUGUUAUUUUGUUGCAGUGUUCAGUUUCAUUAACAAUCAUGAACGCUGCACCUUGGUCUCCUUCAUCCGAUGAUAACCGUUACAGGGGAGGCCGUGAAGCAUGGGGGUGGCGGCAACAUGUUGUGGAGGUGCUUUGCUGCAGGAGGGACUGGUGUAUUUCUCAUAUUACAAAAUACAUGGCUUCGUGAGGAGGAAAAUAAUUUGGAACCCUAGGCUGACUAUCCACUGGAGAACCCUAGACUGACUAUCCACUGGAGAACCCUAGACGGACUAUCCACUGGAGAACCCUAGACGGACUAUCCACUGGAGAACCCUAGACGGACUAUCCACUGGAGAACCCUAGACGGACUAUCCACUGGAGAACCCUAGACGGACUAUCCACUGGAGAACCCUAGGCUGACUAUCCACUGGAGAACCCUAGGCUGACUAUCCACUGGAGAACCCUAGGCUGACUAUCCACUGGAGAACCCUAGGCUGACUAUCCACUGGAGAACCCUAGGCUGAUGAUCCACUGGAGAACCCUAGGCUGACUAUCCACUGGAGAACCCUAGGCUGACUAUGCACUGGAGAACCCUAGGCUGAUUAUCCACUGCCUGGAGAACCCUAGGCUGACUAUCCACUGCCUGGAGAACCCUAGACUGACUAUCCACUGCCUGGAGAACCCUAAGCUGACUAUCCACUGGAGAACCCUAGGCUGACUAUCCACUGGAGAACCCUAGGCUGACUAUCCACUGGAGAACCCUAGGCUGACUAUCCACUGGAGAACCCUAGACUGACUAUGCACUGGAGAACCCUAGACUGACUAUCCACUGGAGAACCCUAGACUGACUAUCCACUGCAGCACCAUAGACUGACUAUCCACUGCCUGGAGAACCCUAGGCUGACUAUCCACUGCCUGGAGAACCCUAGGCUGACUAUCCACUGGAGAACCCUAGGCUGACUAUCCACUGGAGAACCCUAGGCUGACUAUCCACUGGAGAGCCAUAGGCUGACUAUCCACUGGAGAACCAUAGACUGACUAUCCACUGCCUGGAGAACCCUAGACUGACUAUCCACUGGAGAACCCUAGACUGACUAUCCACUGCAGCACCAUAGACUGACUAUCCACUGCCUGGAGAACCCUAGGCUGACUAUCCACUGCCUGGAGAACCCUAGGCUGACUAUCCACUGCCUGGAGAACCCUAGACUGACUAUCCACUGGAGAACCAUAGACGGACUAUACACUGCCUGGAGAACCCUAAGCUGACUAUCCACUGGAGAACCCUAGGCUGACUAUCCACUGGAGAACCCUAGGCUGACUAUCCACUGGAGAACCCUAGACUGACUAUGCACUGGAGAACCCUAGACUGACUAUCCACUGCCUGGAGAACCCUAGGCUGACUAUCCACUGGAGAACCCUAGGCUGACUAUCCACUGGAGAACCCUAGGCUGACUAUCCACUGGAGAGCCAUAGGCUGACUAUCCACUGGAGAACCAUAGACUGACUAUCCACUGCCUGGAGAACCCUAGACUGACUAUCCACUGGAGAACCCUAGACUGACUAUCCACUGCAGCACCAUAGACUGACUAUCCACUGCCUGGAGAACCCUAGGCUGACUAUCCACUGCCUGGAGAACCCUAGGCUGACUAUCCACUGGAGAACCCUAGGCUGACUAUCCACUGGAGAACCCUAGGCUGACUAUCCACUGGAGAGCCAUAGGCUGACUAUCCACUGGAGAACCAUAGACUGACUAUCCACUGCCUGGAGAACCCUAAGCUGACUAUCCACUGGAGAACCCUAGGCUGACUAUCCACUGGAGAACCCUAGGCUGACUAUCCACUGGAGAACCCUAGGCUGACUAUCCACUGGAGAACCCUAGGCUGACUAUCCACUGGAGAACCCUAGGCUGACUAUCCACUGGAGAACCCUAGGCUGACUAUCCACUGGAGAACCCUAGGCUGACUAUCCACUGCCUGGAGAACCCUAGACUCACUAUCCACUGCAGCACCAUAGACUGACUAUCCACUGCCUGGAGAACCCUAGGCUGACUAUCCACUGGAGAACCCUAGGCUGACUAUCCACUGGAGAACCCUAGGCUGACUAUCCACUGGAGAACCCUAGGCUGACUAUCCACUGGAGAACCCUAGGCUGACUAUCCACUGGAGAACCCUAGGCUGACUAUCCACUGCAGAACCCUAGGCUGACUAUCCACUGGAGAGCCAUAGGCUGACUAUCCACUGGAGAACCCUAGGCUGACUAUCCACUGCCUGGAGAACCCUAGGCUGACUAUCCACUGCCUGGAGAACCCUAGGCUGACUAUCCACUGCCUGGAGAACCCUAGGCUGACUAUCCACUGGAGAGCCAUAGGCUGACUAUCCACUGGAGAACCCUAGGCUGACUAUCCACUGCCUGGAGAACCCUAGGCUGGCUAUCCACUGGAGAACCCUAGACUGGCUAUCCACCGGAGAACCCUUGACUGGCUAUCCACCGGAGAACCCUAGACUGACUAUCCACUGGAGAACCAUAGACUGGUUCUAGUGACUUCAGACUGGUUCUGGUGACUUCAGAUAGACUGGUUGUGUUCCAUCUAGUGACUUCAGAUAGACUGGUUCUGAUCCAUUUGGUGACUUCCUACCUAGCCUUGUUGCAGUGUGCCACCCUGUGCAUCCCAAAUGGCACCCUAUUCCCUAUCUAGUGCACUACUUGGCACCCUAUUCCCUAUGGGCCCUGGUCAAAAGUAGUGCACUUUUGGCAUAUGGCACCAUUUCAGACACUGCUAAACCAUGCAGUUCAAUGACAAGGCAGGCUCAUUAUAAUCUGUCUCACCAUGACAACUACCAAGAGGAGAAGAACGACGGAUCUUCAUCUCAGUCAGCUGGAUGUAACGGAGAACAUUGGUGUCUGGAAAAGACAAAGACAGAAAAAAGCUUUAUCAAAAUCCGUUCCUUAUUAUUUUCUGUUGAACCGGGAAACGUGUGAUUUCCAUCCAAAUUGGAAUUGCUGACAACCAGCUCACAUGUAAUGGAGGAGGGGCAGCGAGUGGAAGUGUCAGAAGUGGAAUUGAGAAAAAGGCUUCAUCCUCACCUGCUGGCUGCUGUUUGUGGGACUCCUUGAGGUAGUG